rnacentral:rRNA from 1 species
CUACGGGUGGCAGCAGUGGGGAAUAUUGGACAAUGGGCGAAAGCCUGAUCCAGCAAUACCGCGUGAAUGAUGAAGGCCUUAGGGUUGUAAAGUUCUUUUAGUUGGAAAGAUAAUGACGGUACCAACAGAAAAAGCCCCGGCUAACUCCGUGCCAGCAGCCGCGGUAAGACGGAGGGGGCUAGCGUUGUUCGGAAUUACUGGGCGUAAAGGGCGCGUAGGCGGAUUAGUAAGUUGGGAGUGAAAGCCCGGGGCUUAACCUCGGAACUGCUUUCAAAACUGCUAGUCUUGAGUGAAGUAGGGGAUGAUGGAAUUCCUAGUGUAGAGGUGAAAUUCUUAGAUAUUAGGAGGAACACCGGUGGCGAAGGCGGUCAUCUGGACUUCAACUGACGCUGAGGCGCGAAAGCGUGGGGAGCAAACAGGAUUAGAUACCCUAGUAGUC